rnacentral:rRNA from 1 species
GACGAACGCUGGUGGCGUGCUUAACACAUGCAAGUCGAACGGAAAGGCCCUGCUUUUGUGGGGUGCUCGAGUGGCGAACGGGUGAGUAACACGUGAGUAACCUGCCCUUGACUUUGGGAUAACUUCAGGAAACUGGGGCUAAUACCGGAUAGGAGCUCCUGCUGCAUGGUGGGGGUUGGAAAGUUUCGGCGGUUGGGGAUGGACUCGCGGCUUAUCAGCUUGUUGGUGGGGUAGUGGCUUACCAAGGCUUUGACGGGUAGCCGGCCUGAGAGGGUGACCGGCCACAUUGGGACUGAGAUACGGCCCAGACUCCUACGGGAGGCAGCAGUGGGGAAUAUUGCACAAUGGGCGGAAGCCUGAUGCAGCAACGCCGCGUGCGGGAUGACGGCCUUCGGGUUGUAAACCGCUUUCGCCUGUGACGAAGCGUGAGUGACGGUAAUGGGGAAAGAAGCACCGGCUAACUACGU